AUGGCUUCUUGGCCUUUUGGCCAAGAUCAAGUAUAGUAUGUGUUCUUACCAGUUUAAUAUCUGAUAUGUCUUCUAUCUGAGGACAAAUCUUUGUUUUUUUUAUACUUUAA
rnacentral:snRNA from 1 species